AGGGAAUCUUCCGCAAUGGACGAAAGUCUGACGGAGCAACGCCGCGUGAGUGAUGAAGGUUUUCGGAUCGUAAAGCUCUGUUGCCAGGGAAGAACGUCCGUUAGAGUAACUGCUGACGGAGUGACGGUACCUGAGAAGAAAGCCCCGGCUAACUACGUGCCAGCAGCCGCGGUAAUACGUAGGGGGCAAGCGUUGUCCGGAAUUAUUGGGCGUAAAGCGCGCGCAGGCGGCUGUUUAAGUCUGGUGUAUAAUCCUGGGGCUCAACUCCGGGUCGCACUGGAAACUGGACGGCUUGAGUGCAGAAGAGGAGAGUGGAAUUCCACGUGUAGCGGUGAAAUGCGUAGAGAUGUGGAGGAACACCAGUGGCGAAGGCGGUUCUCUGGACUGUAACUGACGCUGAGGCACGAAAGCGUGGGUAGCAAAC
rnacentral:rRNA from 1 species